AGAGUUUGAUCAUGGCUCAGAUUGAACGCUGGCGGCAGGCCUAACACAUGCAAGUCGAGCGGUAGCACAGAGAGCUUGCUCUCGGGUGACGAGCGGCGGACGGGUGAGUAAUGUCUGGGAAACUGCCUGAUGGAGGGGGAUAACUACUGGAAACGGUAGCUAAUACCGCAUAACGUCGCAAGACCAAAGUGGGGGACCUUCGGGCCUCAUGCCAUCAGAUGUGCCCAGAUGGGAUUAGCUAGUAGGUGGGGUAACGGCUCACCUAGGCGACGAUCCCUAGCUGGUCUGAGAGGAUGACCAGCCACACUGGAACUGAGACACGGUCCAGACUCCUACGGGAGGCAGCAGUGGGGAAUAUUGCACAAUGGGCGCAAGCCUGAUGCAGCCAUGCCGCGUGUGUGAAGAAGGCCUUCGGGUUGUAAAGCACUUUCAGCGGGGAGGAAGGCGGUGAGGUUAAUAACCUCAUCGAUUGACGUUACCCGCAGAAGAAGCACCGGCUAACUCCGUGCCAGCAGCCGCGGUAAUACGGAGGGUGCAAGCGUUAAUCGGAAUUACUGGGCGUAAAGCGCACGCAGGCGGUCUGUCAAGUCGGAUGUGAAAUCCCCGGGCUCAACCUGGGAACUGCAUUCGAAACUGGCAGGCUAGAGUCUUGUAGAGGGGGGUAGAAUUCCAGGUGUAGCGGUGAAAUGCGUAGAGAUCUGGAGGAAUACCGGUGGCGAAGGCGGCCCCCUGGACAAAGACUGACGCUCAGGUGCGAAAGCGUGGGGAGCAAACAGGAUUAGAUACCCUGGUAGUCCACGCUGUAAACGAUGUCGAUUUGGAGGUUGUGCCCUUGAGGCGUGGCUUCCGGAGCUAACGCGUUAAAUCGACCGCCUGGGGAGUACGGCCGCAAGGUUAAAACUCAAAUGAAUUGACGGGGGCCCGCACAAGCGGUGGAGCAUGUGGUUUAAUUCGAUGCAACGCGAAGAACCUUACCUGGUCUUGACAUCCACAGAACUUUCCAGAGAUGGAUUGGUGCCUUCGGGAACUGUGAGACAGGUGCUGCAUGGCUGUCGUCAGCUCGUGUUGUGAAAUGUUGGGUUAAGUCCCGCAACGAGCGCAACCCUUAUCCUUUGUUGCCAGCGGU
rnacentral:rRNA from 1 species